rnacentral:rRNA from 1 species
UACGAAAGGAGCAGGUGUUAUUCAAAUUAACUGGGCGUAAAGGGCACGUAGGUGGUUUGUUAUGUGUAUUAUAAAAUUAUAAAGCACAACUUUGUAACGUAGUAUAAACAACUAAACUUGGAGUUAGGUAGAGGGUAGUAGAAUUUCUAAUGUAAAGGUGAAAUGCGCAGAUAUCAGGAGGAACACCGAUGGCGAAGGCAGCUCGCUGGGACGGUACUGACGCUGAGGCGCGAAAGCGUGGGGAGCGAACAGG